AUUGAACGCUGGCGGCAGGCCUAACACAUGCAAGUCGAACGAGUGGCGGACGGGUGAGUAAUGUCUGGGAAACUGCCUGAUGGAGGGGGAUAACUACUGGAAAAGGUAGCUAAUACCGCAUACCAUCAGUUGUGCCCAGAUGGGAUUAGCUGGUUGGUGGGGUAAAGGCCUACCAAGGCGACGAUCCGUAACUGGCCUGAGAGGAUGAUCAGUCACACUGGAACUGAGACACGGCCCAGACUCCUACGGGAGGCAGCAGGGGGGAAUAUUGGGCAAUGGGCGAAAGUCUGAUCCAGCAAGGCCGCGUGUGUGAAGAAGGUUUUCGGAUCGUAAAGCACUUUAAUUUGGGAGGCGUUACCAACAGAAUAAGCAACGGCUAACUUCGUGCCAGCAGCCGCGGUAAUAC
rnacentral:rRNA from 1 species